rnacentral:rRNA from 1 species
GUCGAACGCUGGAGGCGUGCUUAACACAUGCAAGUCGAACGAUGAAAUGGAGCUUGCUCCAUGGAUUAGUGGCGAACGGGUGAGUAACACGUGAAUAACCUGCCCUUAAUCUUGGAAUAACCCAGGGAAACCUGGGCUAAUACCGGAUAAGUAAACCUGUGGCAUCACAUGGUUUUGGAAAGUUUUUCGAUUAAGGAUGGAUUCGCGGCCUAUCAGCUUGUUGGUGAGGUAAUGGCUCACCAAGGCGACGACGGGUAGCCGGCCUGAGAGGGUGAACGGCCACACUGGGACUGAGACACGGCCCAGACUCCUACGGGAGGCAGCAGUGGGGAAUAUUGCGCAAUGGACGAAAGUCUGACGCAGCGACGCCUCGUGAGGGACGAAGGUCUUCGGACUGUAAACCUCUUUCAGCAGGGACGAAGCGAAAGUGACGGUACCUGCAGAAGAAGCACCGGCUAACUAUGUGCCAGCAGCCGCGGUAA